rnacentral:rRNA from 1 species
GUUUACGGCCAUGCCACCCCGAACGAGCCCGAUCCCAUCUGAUCUCAGAAGCUAAGCAGGGUUGGGCCUGGUUAGUAUUUGGAUGGGAGACCACCUAGGAAGACCAGGUGCUGUAGGUG